UGAAAUACAAUAAAAAUGUUUUUCUUCUGAAUCAUUGCUGCUUUCUGAUUAAUUCUGUAUAACUUCAGUUAAAGAUCACAUUUCACAGGUAGAAUCAUAAUGUGCUUCACAUAGAAACAUACAAGAUAAGAUCUAUU